rnacentral:rRNA from 1 species
UCUAUGGGUGGCUGCAGUGGGGAAUAUUGGACAAUGUGCGAAAGCCUGAUCCAGCCAUUCCGCGUGUGUGAAGAAGGCCUUCGGGUUGUAAAGCACUUUCAGUGGGGAAGAAAGCCUUGGGGCUAAUACCCUCGAGGAAGGACAUCACCCACAGAAGAAGCACCGGCUAACUCCGUGCCAGCAGCCGCGGUAAUACGGAGGGUGCGAGCGUUAAUCGGAAUUACUGGGCGUAAAGCGCGCGUAGGCGGUCUGAUAAGCCGGUUGUGAAAGCCCCGGGCUCAACCUGGGAACGGCAUCCGGAACUGUCAGGCUAGAGUGCAGGAGAGGAAGGUAGAAUUCCCGGUGUAGCGGUGAAAUGCGUAGAGAUCGGGAGGAAUACCAGUGGCGAAGGCGGCCUUCUGGACUGACACUGACGCUGAGGUGCGAAAGCGUGGGUAGCAAACAGGAUUAGAUACCCCUGUAGUC